UGGUUUGUCCGUCAGUCACGUCGCAACGGAGCAAUCGGAUGGCGUGAUUUAUUGCAUGGGUAUAAUUAAAGACCUGGAGAAGUCACAUAGGCUACUUUUUAUCCCGGAAAAUCAAAGAGUUCCCACGGGAUUUCGAAAAACCUAAAUCCACGCGGGCGAAGUCGCGGGCAUCGGCUAGU